rnacentral:rRNA from 1 species
AAUAGAUACCCUGGUAGUCCACGCCGUAAACGAUGAGUGCUAAGUGUUAGAGGGUUUCCGCCCUUUAGUGCUGCAGCUAACGCAUUAAGCACUCCGCCUGGGGAGUACGGCCGCAAGGCUGAAACUCAAAGGAAUUGACGGGGGCCCGCACAAGCGGUGGAGCAUGUGGUUUAAUUCGAAGCAACGCGAAGAACCUUACCAGGUCUUGACAUCCUCUGCCAACCCUAGAGAUAGGGCGUUCCUCUUCGGGGGACAGAGUGACAGGUGGUGCAUGGUUGUCGUCAGCUCGUGUCGUGAGAUGUUGGGUUAAGUCCCGCAACGAGCGCAACCCUUGAUCUUAGUUGCCAGCAUUCAGUUGGGGCACUCUAAGGUGACUGCCGGUGACAAACCGGAGGAAGGUGGGGAUGACGUCAAAUCAUCAUGCCCCUUAUGACCUGGGCUACACACGUGCUACAAUGGAUGGUACAAAGAGCUGCGAACCCGCGAGGGUAAGCGAAUCUCAUAAAGCCAUUCUCAGUUCGGAUUGGU